rnacentral:rRNA from 1 species
CUUGGCGGCAAUAGCGCGGUGGUCCCACCUGACCCCAUGCCGAACUCAGAAGUGAAACGCCGUAGCGCCGAUGGUAGUGUGGGGUCUCCCCAUGUGAGAGUAGGGAACUGCCAGGC